UUUGAUCCUGGCUCAGAUGAACGCUGGCGGCAUGCUUACACAUGCAAGUCGAACGGCAGCACGGCGGGGGUAACUUGCCUGGUGGCGAGUGGCGAACGGGUGAGUAAUAUAUCGGAACGUACCAGAAUGGGGGAUAACGUAGCGAAAGUUACGCUAAUACCGCAUACGAUCUACGGAUGAAAGUGGGGGAUCUUCGGACCUCAUGCUUUUGGAGCGGCCGAUAUCUGAUUAGCUAGUAGGUAGGGUAAAGGCCUACCUAGGCGACGAUCAGUAGCUGGUCUGAGAGGACGACCAGCCACACUGGGACUGAGACACGGCCCAGACUCCUACGGGAGGCAGCAGUGGGGAAUUUUGGACAAUGGGCGCAAGCCUGAUCCAGCAAUGCCGCGUGAGUGAAGAAGGCCUUCGGGUUGUAAAGCUCUUUUGUCAGGGAAGAAACGGCUGAGGCGAAUACCUUUGGCUAAUGACGGUACCUGAAGAAUAAGCACCGGCUAACUACGUG
rnacentral:rRNA from 1 species